GGAAAGGUGAGUGAAAGCAGCAGUGUUGGUGAGCUUCCUCCUCCAGAUUUUUGACUAACACCAUGGUGCACAGCAAGGCAGUCGUAAGAACACAAAUUUGGUUCCGUGGGAUAUCAAGAGGAAAGACAAAUUGAAUCCACCGCUACGUGUCAUACAUUUGUUGGGUCAUAUAAAUGUACUCCUCUUGUUUUUAAAGCAGGCGAUAUCUGCAUUGCCAAAUUUGGAAACCAUUACUUUUGUUUCCGAUAGGGAGAGAGCGCAUUAAAGGAGCAUUUGGUCAAGGUAUUUGGGUUACUCUCAGUACCACCGUUUGAAAAGCUUCAAAAAAAAAAAACUUGAAGGGGCAUUUCCAUGGAGAUGGGAGGGGUUCUCUACUUGUCAAUUUUGUUGCCGCCGCCCAUGCAAUCCAACUCUUCUUGUGCUUGUGGGGAGAUUUUCUUCUCCGUUUUUUUGGAGUUUAGAUUUAUGCCGUGUCGACGGAAUGAUCUCUAAAGAUGGGGAGAUUGUAGAAGAAGUUGCUUUGGAUCUGUUUGCAUCUUCGUGAUUGAAUCACAAUAUGAUUGAGAAUGAAUUUGGUCAUCACUAGGAGUCUUGGUUCUAAAAGAUGGUGAUCCUUGAGUAAGUUUGGCCUGCUGGUUGAAGAAGAUGUCAGUGCUGCUGUUUUGUUCUGGACUUGAGGAUUGAUGCUACUAUUUUUUUUACUGUAUGAACUACAUUAAUUUUUAGUUUUUGAAUUAUUGGGUUGUAAUUAUUUUCCCGUUGCUAAUUAAUUAUUAAUUAUUGAUCCCUCA